GCGUGCUUACACUGCAGUCGACGGCAGCACGGGGGCAACCCUGGUGGCGAGUGGCGAACGGGUGAGUAAUACAUCGGAACGUGUCCUGUAGUGGGGGAUAGCCCGGCGAAAGCCGGAUUAAUACCGCAUACGCUCUACGGAGGAAAGGGGGGGAUCUUAGGACCUCUCGCUACAGGGGCGGCCGAUGGCAGAUUAGCUAGUUGGUGGGGUAAAGGCCUACCAAGGCGACGAUCUGUAGCUGGUCUGAGAGGACGACCAGCCACACUGGGACUGAGACACGGCCCAGACUCCUACGGGAGGCAGCAGUGGGGAAUUUUGGACAAUGGGCGCAAGCCUGAUCCAGCAAUGCCGCGUGUGUGAAGAAGGCCUUCGGGUUGUAAAGCACUUUUGUCCGGAAAGAAAUCCUUUGGCCUAAUACGUCGGGGGGAUGACGGUACCGGAAGAAUAAGCACCGGCUAACUACGUGCCAGCAGCCGCGGUAAUACGUAGGGUGCAAGCGUUAAUCGGAAUUACUGGGCGUAAAGCGUGCGCAGGCGGUUCGCUAAGACAGAUGUGAAAUCCCCGGGCUUAACCUGGGAACUGCAUUUGUGACUGGCGGGCUAGAGUAUGGCAGAGGGGGGUAGAAUUCCACGUGUAGCAGUGAAAUGCGUAGAGAUGUGGAGGAAUACCGAUGGCGAAGGCAGCCCCCUGGGCCAAUACUGACGCUCAUGCACGAAAGCGUGGGGAGCAAACAGGAUUAGAUACCCUGGUAGUCCACGCCCUAAACGAUGUCAACUAGUUGUCGGGUCUUCAUUGACUUGGUAACGUAGCUAACGCGUGAAGUUGACCGCCUGGGGAGUACGGUCGCAAGAUAA
rnacentral:rRNA from 1 species